rnacentral:rRNA from 1 species
AUUGAACGCUGGCGGCAGGCCUAACACAUGCAAGUCGAGCGGAGAGGCGGACGGGUGAGUAAUACCUAGGAAUCUGCCUGGUAGUGGGGGAUAACGUCCGGAAACGGGAGCUAAUACCGCAUACUAUCAGAUGAGCCUAGGGCGGAUUAGCUAGUGGGUGGGGUAAGGUCCUACCAAGGCGACGAGCCGUAACUGGUCUGAGAGGAUGAUCAGUCACACUGGAGCUGAGACACGUUCCAGACUCCUACGGGAGGCAGCGGUGGUGAAUAUUCGACAAUGGGCGAAAGCCUGAUCCAGCCAUGCCGCGUGUAUGAAGAAGGUCUUCGGAUGGUAAAGCACUUUAAGUUGGGAGGCGUUACCAACAGAAUAAGCACCGGCUAACUCCGUGCCAGCAGCCGCGGUAAUAC